GCUGGGCGUGGUGGCACAUGCCUAUAAUUCCAGCAGCUUGGGAGGCUGAGGCAGGGGGAUCAUGAGUUCAAAGCCAUCCUCAGCAAAAGCUAGGUGCUAAACAACUCAGUGAGACCCUGUCUCUA
rnacentral:sRNA from 1 species